AUGUCUGUAAAUACAGAAAUAGCUAAGCUCCUGUGCCGCGUGACAGCAGAAAAUACUCCCUUCUGUCCUACAGACUGGUUGUGCUUUUCAUCUUUUCCUGCCUGGGCUCACAGGGGCAGUGGCAUCCUCAUGCAAGCUGGUCUACUGGUGGCUGCCCCACUGACCUGCUUCUGAAUGGACAGGCAGGAAAGGUCUCCCACUGUGUUGCAUUUAAAGAAAAGAAAAAGAUGAAUGAAGUAAAAAACUCUGCAAACAACUGAGUGUAAUUAUUGGGUAUGUAUACAUUUAUGCAUAUUUUCCUUUUUGAAUCUGUUGAUUUAUUGCUUUUUAAAUGAAAAAUGGAUCUGUCCAAAAGGUGAAAAUAAAGGAUUUUGUAUUUCUUUCUUCUUUCAGCUGUUUUAGCCUAAGAACAGAAAACCCCCAGCCCGUUUAGUAUUCUAGGCAUUUAAAAGACCCUCAAGUAUCAGCUCUUUGGAAGCCCAGUGUUUUUAAAUUUGCAGAAUAGACAGGGCAAGAUGCCAUGUUUCCAACUCCCCGGGACUCAUUUCAGGAGUUUGAUUAACUCUUUGGUUUGUCGCAGCAAAGGGAGGCUGAAGCUGAAGUGUCCGCUUAGAAGAAGAGGUAGGGGGCAUUCAGAUGAGGGCUGUUGUCUGCCAAGAUCAAAGCAGCACUGCACAUGCUAAAGGGUCUAAUUCACAGACCUUCGGUGCUUAGUUGUAACACCAACUUGAAGCCUAUUUGGUCAGAAGUGGCCACUUGAGCCGUCUUAGGGCUAGGCAAGGGCUUCUUUGUUUCAGACAGCACUUCCCACUGGGAGAGGGGAAUGUGAAGUGAGGGAGCCCUCUUUUGGAGGAGGAAGGCUAAGGAGGAAAAGUGAGGGAGAGUGGGAAAGACCGCAGGGCAAGAAGAUCUAAGCCAAGGGAGCCUUGUUUGCCUUUACUGGCAGGUAGGUACUCACGAGCAAGCCAGCCUGCAUUUCUGAACUCACAUCGUGGGAAAAGCAACAAACACUUUUAAGACAAAAGAUAAAGGGUAAACUACCUAUGGGAAACACUUUCCUAAAAAUGCUUAGAUUCUAGGUGACAGGAUUAGAAUUGUUCUCUUGGUGUUUGGCUAACAUAACAGACUCCCAAGACAAGAGCGGAGAGGGCGGAGAUGGUUACGUGUCGGCUGGAGCGAAGUGGGAGCAGGAACCUCUUUCUAUUUAGGACACAAAUCUUUACACAGGGAUGACAUUUGAAAGACUUGCUCGUGGGCCUGGGCCCACUUCCUUUGCUUUUCAGAGAAGGUCCCAAGAUUAGCAGCAAAAGUAAUCCAGGUGAAAAUAAUCCAUGAAUUUGAACACUUGGUUGGGUGUAGUAGGGAGCUUCUGACAGGUGCCUGAUGACCCUAUGUCCUGGUACCCACACCUUUGCUUAAUCUCCUCCCCUCAAGUGGGAACUGGAUAUAGUGACUCACUUUUAACGAACAGAAUACAGCAGAAGUGCUGGGAUGUCAUUCUUGGAUGACGUUGUACAAGGCUGUGACUUCUAUCUGGGUCACCCUCCUUUUUGUAUCCUCACUUGCCCACUCUGGUGAAGCCACUGCCACAUCGCCAGCUGCCCUGCAGAGAGGCUGUGUGGCAAGGUGCUGAGGGCAGCCUCUGGAUGACAGCUGUAAGGAACAGAGGGUCUCAGCCCAACAGUUAGCAAAGAACUGAAUUCUGGCAACAACCUUGUGAGUGAGUGUGGAAGUGGCUCCUAUUGAGCCUUGAGAUGGCUCCAGUCUACUGUCACUGUGAUUCAGCAAAUGCAAGUCCUAAACCAUGGCCAGGUUCCUGAGUUACAGGAUAUGUGAGAUAAAAGUGUUGUUGCUUAGGAGUAUUUGUUCCACAGCAAUACAUAACUAAUACACUGAGUUAUUAUUAUUUUACUGCACCUUCUUAUCUGCUUUGUGCACCUAGUUGUCUGCUGAGUUCUAUAAAGAUUCAUUCAUUAAAAUUUCCAUCUUUUCCCUCCUCUCCAGUUUUAUAGAAACAGUCUAUUCCAACAAAAGCUUUAAAAUCCCUGGGAAAUUAUAGGGAAAUAAAUUAGAUGUCCUGACAUCUGCAGAAUGUCCUCCAGACACUGUCCUCAUUACGCUGCCCUUGGUUCUUCCAGUUCAUCAAAUCUCAUUUAGCUGUGCACCAAUUAGACUGCCUUUGGCUGGAAGUGACAUAAAGCCUGAAAAAUAGUGGAUUAUAUAAGCAAAUAGCUUAUUUUUCUCACAAAAAGUUUGGAGUUGAGUUGUCAAGGAUGUUAUUCUGUCUAAGUUGAUAAACUUUGUUAAAAGUCAGAGAG
rnacentral:lncRNA from 1 species